CUAAGUAAGUUGAUCCACAUCUUGAGUACAUGCGACAAUCUCAGGUCUAAGGACAAAGCGUAGAUGUUGUGUAAGGAGAGAACUACUUCUCGUGUUGGGUCAGUUCUAGCACAUGUCUCUACAUGUGCCUACAUUAUUAGUUUGAUAUCUCCAUGUCCAUGACUUGUGAAACAUAGUUAUCAACUAAUACAUGUAUUAGUCUAAUAUUCAUGUGUGUCCACACAUGAACUCCGACUAGGAACAACUUUUAGAAUAACCAUACAAGUAAAGAGUUCCACAUACAAUUCAGAUAAUUGCAGAUCAAUUCAAUUAGCCUUUAAUGGAUAUUCAAUGAACACAAUAUACAAAUCAUGGAUACAAUCAGAUAUCAUCAUCUCUAUGAUUGUCUCUAGGGCAUACCUCCAACAGUCUCCC
rnacentral:lncRNA from 1 species